CGCAUCUUGCGCCCUUUGGUAUUCCGAUGGGCAUGUCUGUUUGAGUGUCGUGAAACUCUCAACCCCCCUAUUUUGUAAUGAGAUAGGCGCUUGGGUUUGGAUCUGAUUGUUGCCGGAUCUCCGGGUUCGACUCGAUUAAAAUAUACAAGUGCAUCCAGCUUCAUGGAGCAACGGCUUGACUUGGCGUGAUAGUUUUUCGCUAAGAACGUUGCAUCGAAUCCAUUUACCGAGAGCGCUAAUAAUACGACCGUGUCCUUAAGCUUUAGACCUCAAAUCAGGCAGGACUACCCGCUGAACUUAA
rnacentral:misc_RNA from 1 species